AGAAGCGCAUACGGUGGAUGCCUUGGCAGUCAGAGGCGAUGAAAGACGUGGUAGCCUGCGAAAAGCUUCGGGGAGUCGGCAAACAGACUUUGAUCCGGAGAUGUCUGAAUGGGGGAACCCAGCCAUCAUAAGAUGGUUAUCUUACGCUGAAUACAUAGGCGUAAGAGGCGAACCAGGGGAACUGAAACAUCUAAGUACCCUGAGGAAAAGAAAUCAACCGAGAUUCCCUUAGUAGUGGCGAGCGAACGGGGACUAGCCCUUAAGUGGCUUUGAGAUUAGCGGAACGCUCUGGAAAGUGCGGCCAUAGUGGGUGAUAGCCCUGUACGCGAAAAUCUCUUAGUCAUGAAAUCGAGUAGGACGGAGCACGAGAAACUUUGUCUGAAUAUGGGGGGACCAUCCUCCAAGGCUAAAUACUACUGACUGACCGAUAGUGAACUAGUACCGUGAGGGAAAGGCGAAAAGAACCCCGGAGAGGGGAGUGAAAUAGAUCCUGAAACCGUAUGCGUACAAGCAGUGGGAGCCCACUUUGUUGGGUGACUGCGUACCUUUUGUAUAAUGGGUCAGCGACUUAUUUUCAGUGGCGAGCUUAACCGAAUAGGGGAGGCGUAGCGAAAGCGAGUCUUAAUAGGGCGUCUAGUCGCUGGGAAUAGACCCGAAACCGGGCGAUCUAUCCAUGGGCAGGUUGAAGGUUGGGUAACACUAACUGGAGGACCGAACCGACUACCGUUGAAAAGUUAGCGGAUGACCUGUGGAUCGGAGUGAAAGGCUAAUCAAGCUCGGAGAUAGCUGGUUCUCCUCGAAAGCUAUUUAGGUAGCGCCUCAUGUAUCACUGUAGGGGGUAGAGCACUGUUUCGGCUAGGGGGUCAUCCCGACUUACCAAACCGAUGCAAACUCCGAAUACCUACAAGUGCCGAGCAUGGGAGACACACGGCGGGUGCUAACGUCCGUCGUGAAAAGGGAAACAACCCAGACCGUCAGCUAAGGUCCCAAAGUUAUGGUUAAGUGGGAAACGAUGUGGGAAGGCUUAGACAGCUAGGAGGUUGGCUUAGAAGCAGCCACCCUUUAAAGAAAGCGUAAUAGCUCACUAGUCGAGUCGGCCUGCGCGGAAGAUGUAACGGGGCUCAAACCAUACACCGAAGCUACGGGUAUCACGUAAGUGAUGCGGUAGAGGAGCGUUCUGUAAGCCUGUGAAGGUGAGUUGAGAAGCUUGCUGGAGGUAUCAGAAGUGCGAAUGCUGACAUGAGUAACGACAAUGGGUGUGAAAAACACCCACGCCGAAAGACCAAGGUUUCCUGCGCAACGUUAAUCGACGCAGGGUUAGUCGGUCCCUAAGGCGAGGCUGAAAAGCGUAGUCGAUGGAAAACAGGUUAAUAUUCCUGUACUUCUGGUUAUUGCGAUGGAGGGACGGAGAAGGCUAGGCCAGCUUGGCGUUGGUUGUCCAAGUUUAAGGUGGUAGGCUGGAAUCUUAGGUAAAUCCGGGAUUCUAAGGCCGAGAGCUGAUGACGAGUCAUCUUUUAGAUGACGAAGUGGUUGAUGCCAUGCUUCCAAGAAAAGCUUCUAAGCUUCAGGUAACCAGGAACCGUACCCCAAACCGACACAGGUGGUUGGGUAGAGAAUACCAAGGCGCUUGAGAGAACUCGGGUGAAGGAACUAGGCAAAAUGGCACCGUAACUUCGGGAGAAGGUGCGCCGGUGAGGGUGAAGGACUUGCUCCGUAAGCUCAUGCCGGUCGAAGAUACCAGGCCGCUGCGACUGUUUAUUAAAAACACAGCACUCUGCAAACACGAAAGUGGACGUAUAGGGUGUGACGCCUGCCCGGUGCCGGAAGGUUAAUUGAUGGGGUUAGCUAACGCGAAGCUCUUGAUCGAAGCCCCGGUAAACGGCGGCCGUAACUAUAACGGUCCUAAGGUAGCGAAAUUCCUUGUCGGGUAAGUUCCGACCUGCACGAAUGGCGUAACGAUGGCGGCGCUGUCUCCACCCGAGACUCAGUGAAAUUGAAAUCGCUGUGAAGAUGCAGUGUAUCCGCGGCUAGACGGAAAGACCCCGUGAACCUUUACUAUAGCUUUGCACUGGACUUUGAAUUUGCUUGUGUAGGAUAGGUGGGAGGCUUUGAAGCGUGGACGCCAGUCUGCGUGGAGCCAACCUUGAAAUACCACCCUGGCAACUUUGAGGUUCUAACUCAGGUCCGUUAUCCGGAUCGAGGACAGUGUAUGGUGGGUAGUUUGACUGGGGCGGUCUCCUCCUAAAGAGUAACGGAGGAGUACGAAGGUGCGCUCAGACCGGUCGGAAAUCGGUCGUAGAGUAUAAAGGCAAAAGCGCGCUUGACUGCGAGACAGACACGUCGAGCAGGUACGAAAGUAGGUCUUAGUGAUCCGGUGGUUCUGUAUGGAAGGGCCAUCGCUCAACGGAUAAAAGGUACUCCGGGGAUAACAGGCUGAUACCGCCCAAGAGUUCAUAUCGACGGCGGUGUUUGGCACCUCGAUGUCGGCUCAUCACAUCCUGGGGCUGAAGCCGGUCCCAAGGGUAUGGCUGUUCGCCAUUUAAAGUGGUACGCGAGCUGGGUUUAGAACGUCGUGAGACAGUUCGGUCCCUAUCUGCCGUGGACGUUUGAGAUUUGAGAGGGGCUGCUCCUAGUACGAGAGGACCGGAGUGGACGAACCUCUGGUGUUCCGGUUGUCACGCCAGUGGCAUUGCCGGGUAGCUAUGUUCGGAAUAGAUAACCGCUGAAAGCAUCUAAGCGGGAAACUAGCCUCAAGAUGAGAUCUCACUGGAACCUUGAGUUCCCUGAAGGGCCGUCGAAGACUACGACGUUGAUAGGUUGGGUGUGUAAGCGCUGUGAGGCGUUGAGCUAACCAAUACUAAUUGCCCGUGAGGCUUGACC
rnacentral:rRNA from 1 species